UCAUGAUCCAUGCUGCGCUUCCUUUUGCCCCUCUUGUCAUGUCAAGGCGUCGAGGAAAAGGGGGAGAACACGCGUCCGACAACACAACGAUGCGGAGAGUGGAUCUGCAACACGGAGACACGGACAACAGGCAGGAACCCAUGGAGCGCUGACGCAUGCUAACCCGCCACGCCACGCCCACCUCCCGCCAUCUGCCCGCCACUCUGCAACAAGAAAGCAUGUUCUAUGAGAGGGGGUCACCGUUCACCCUAAUCACGGCCGUGACAUGACAUGCUGUAGGUUGCCCCUCAGUGUUAAAUAUUUAUGUCAGCACCGCUGUAAUGCCUUGAUGGCUGUCAAGACUUUGACAUGCCUGCUC